GUAAACAUAUGUUAGCAAUCUAUCUACACGGCCCAAUGACGUCUUCUCUCUAUCUCUCACAACGUUGACUUCACACCUCCUCUGCAAACCCCAUGGAAACGCCUCCUUUCAACUUCACACCAUACGAUAGAAAUGAAGUGGUGUGCUCGAAUCGAGAAUAGCAGUAGAGAAGAAUCAGCAAGCCAGUGGAGAUGCAGAGAAAUCCACCAUUUUCAUUAUUGCGGCAAAGAUUCACCGGAGAUAUAACCGUGGAAUCCUCAGGUCUCCAUUUGUGACUCUCUUAGGUUUUCUUAGAGAUAGAUGAAUCACCGCAAACAAAGUCUUUUGUCUUGGUAUGUACCAUCACCUCCUUCUUUAUCAAUGCCUAAUGUCUCUUUUACUGCUCUCUUUUCUUUAGUCGAUAGAAACAAAGUCUUUUGUCUUGGUAUAAUGAAGAGAUUGUAAGAGUUGACCAGACUAAAUCAGUAGGCCAGAUAUGGGCCUUUGUCAUUACAGUGAAGAAUAUAGUAAAAUAAUUGGGUUGGUAGUGGGUUGAGCCAGGUUUUAACAAGAAUGUAAAAAAUUGGACAAUUAUAUUGGUUGCUCAUUACAAACAUUUGAUUUAUUUGGAUUUACA